GACGAACGCUGGCGGCGGCGCCUAACACAUGCAAGUCGAACGAAGAAAGCGAUAGUUUACUAGAGCUUUCUUAGUGGCGGACGGGUGAGUAACACGUGAAGAACCUGCCUUACAGAGGGGGACAACAGUUGGAAACGACUGCGAAUACCGCAUAACAUUUGAGGGUGGCAUCACUCUUGAAUCAAAGGAGCAAUCCGCUGAAAGAUGGUCUCGCGUCUGAUUAGCUGGUUGGUGAGGUAACGGCCACCAAGGCGACGAUCAGUAGCCGGUCUGAGAGGAUGAACGGCCACAUUGGGACUGAGAUACGGCCCAG
rnacentral:rRNA from 1 species